rnacentral:tRNA from 2 species
GGGACCGUAGCUCAGCGGUAGAGCAACUGCCUUUUAAGCCGUAGGUCGGUGGUUCGAAUCCACCCGGUCUCA